rnacentral:rRNA from 1 species
CACCGCCCGUCACACCAUGGAAGCCAGCUGUACCGGAAGCCGGUGCACCAACCCGCAAGGGAGGUAGCCGCCCAUGGUAUGACUGGUGACUGGGGUG